AUACGGAGGAUCCGAGCGUUAUCCGGAUUUAUUGGGUUUAAAGGGAGCGUAGGCGGGAGAUCAAGUCAGCUGUGAAAUGUAGAUGCUCAACAUCUGCACUGCAGUUGAAACUGGUUUUCUUGAGUGCGUAAGGGGCAGGCGGAAUUCGUCGUGUAGCGGUGAAAUGCUUAGAUAUGACGAAGAACUCCGAUCGCGAAGGCGGCCUGCCGGGCCGCGACUGACGCUGAAGCUCGAAGGUGCGGGUAUCGAACAGGAUUAGAUACCCUGGUAGUCCGCACAGUAAACGAUGGAUACUCGCUGUCGGCGAUAUACGGUCGGUGGCCAAGCGAAAGCGUUAAGUAUCCCACCUGGGGAGUACGCCGGCAACGGUGAAACUCAAAGGAAUUGACGGGG
rnacentral:rRNA from 1 species